UGGGGAAUAUUGCACAAUGGGCGAAAGCCUGAUGCAGCCAUGCCGCGUGUGUGAAGAAGGCCUUCGGGUUGUAAAGCACUUUCAGCGAGGAGGAAAGGUUACUGGCUAAUAUCCAGUAGCUGUGACGUUACUCGCAGAAGAAGCACCGGCUAACUUCGUGCCAGCAGCCGCGGUAAUACGAGGGGUGCAAGCGUUAAUCGGAAUUACUGGGCGUAAAGCGUACGCAGGCGGUUUGUUAAGCGAGAUGUGAAAGCCCCGGGCUCAACCUGGGAACUGCAUUUCGAACUGGCAAACUAGAGUCUUGUAGAGGGGGGUAGAAUUUCAGGUGUAGCGGUGAAAUGCGUAGAGAUCUGAAGGAAUACCGGUGGCGAAGGCGGCCCCCUGGACAAAGACUGACGCUCAGGUACGAAAGCGUGGGGAGCAAACAGG
rnacentral:rRNA from 1 species